AGAGUUUGAUCAUGGCUCAGGAUAAACGCUGGCGGCGCACAUAAGACAUGCAAGUCGAACGGACUUAAUCGAAAUAUUUAUAUUUUGAAGCGGUUAGUGGCGGACUGGUGAGUAACGCGUAAGGAACCUGCCUAUUAGAGGGGAAUAACAGUGAGAAAUCAUUGCUAAUACCGCAUAUGCCAUAGAUAUCACAUGAUAACAGUGGGAAAGGAGCAAUCCGCUAAUAGAUGGUCUUGCGUCUGAUUAGAUAGUUGGUGGGGUAACGGCCUACCAAGUCGACGAUCAGUAGCCGGACUGAGAGGUUGAACGGCCACAUUGGGACUGAGAUACGGCCCAGACUCCUACGGGAGGCAGCAGUCGGGAAUAUUGCGCAAUGGAGGAAACUCUGACGCAGUGACGCCGCGUAUAGGAAGAAGGUUUUCGGAUUGUAAACUAUUGUCGUUAGGGAAGAGAAAGGACAGUACCUAAGGAGGAAGCUCCGGCUAACUACGUGCCAGCAGCCGCGGUAAUACGUAGGGAGCGAGCGUUAUCCGGAAUUAUUGGGUGUAAAGGGUGCGUAGACGGGAGAACAAGUUAGUUGUGAAAUACCUCGGCUCAACUGAGGAACUGCAA
rnacentral:rRNA from 1 species